GUCUAUGGCCAUGCCACCUUGAACGUGCCCGAUCUCAUCUGAUCUCGGAAGCUAAGCAGGGUCGGGCUUGGUUAGUACGUAGAUGGGAGACCACCUAGGAAUGCCUGGAGCAGUAGGCA
rnacentral:rRNA from 1 species